rnacentral:rRNA from 1 species
UUUGCUGGCGACCGGCGCACGGGUGAGUAACACGUAUCCAACCUGCCGAUAACUCGGGGAUAGCCUUUCGAAAGAAAGAUUAAUACCCGAUGGCAUAAUUAGACCGCAUGGUUUGAUUAUUAAAGAAUUUCGGUUAUCGAUGGGGAUGCGUUCCAUUAGGCAGUUGGUGAGGUAACGGCUCACCAAACCUUCGAUGGAUAGGGGUUCUGAGAGGAAGGUCCCCCACAUUGGAACUGAGACACGGUCCAA